UACUCAUACAUUUCUAGUUGCUGCUUUAAAAAAUCCUUAAGCCCGUGAGAUUCUGUGCUCUAAAACCAUGUACUUCGCUUUAUUUAGCCAUUCCCCACCCCAGCCUCCCACCACCUUGCCUAUGACCACGUCUGGAUCCCAGCGCCAGCACGUGAACAAUGGGCCACACACAGCACCCAGACCGACUCCGCCUCCUCAGGGCCAUCACAGCUCCCUGCUCAGUCCAGAGCUCAGCCAAGGCCAGGUCCUCGCAAGAGAAGCUGCCUUCGCUGUGCGACGUCAAGCUGGCCCAACCGUCAGGGCUCUGACGGCAACUGGGUGUAUGCCAGGCUGCCUGAUGCUGUCUAGGCAGAGGGCACGGGGUUGGGCAGCCAUGCUCCACAACCAAGGGACAGGAAGAAAGCAAACGCCACUGUGAGUGGAGGGUGAAGGUGUGCACAGCCCUCAGGAGGCCAUACCGGCAUGGCGGGCAGACUUCACGGCUCCUCUCUGCUCCUUUCUGGUCAGAACUUUCUAACACUCAGCAGUGACUGGCACAGGAAACAGGAGCACACAGGAUACGACUGCACACCUUCAGGUCAUGGACAGAAGACACAGGCAUGGGUCAGGGUGGAAACCAGGGCGAACAACAUCUGAAAUGCCUGAAACCACCUGCCUGUCUCUGAGUAACAGCUGUGCUUGUAAAACAAUGUUUCUGCAUGCUGCCUGAGGUGAAGCCAGAAACGUCUACACGAAUGUGCUGCAGCCUCAGACUACGAUUUCUCAGCAUCUUUAGGGAGGAAGACAAAGCCAACGCCCAUACCGACCAACUGUGAACAAGUUUGAAGCAGAUGAUGAAGAUGGGAGACAAGACUUUAUUUCAAGUAAGGCACUGUAUUG
rnacentral:lncRNA from 1 species